rnacentral:rRNA from 1 species
AUACGGAGGGUGCGAGCGUUAUCCGGAUUUAUUAGGUUUGAAGGGUGUGUAGGCGGGAGCCUAAGUCAGUGGUGAAAUCUCACAGCUUAACUGUGAAACUGCCAUUGAAACUGGGUUUCUUGAGUAUAGUUGAGGUAGGCGGAAUGUGUAAUGUAGCGGUGAAAUGCAUAGAUAUUACACAGAACACCGAUUGCGAAGGCAGCUUACUAAGCUAUUACUGACGCUGAUGCACGAAAGCGUGGGUAGCGAACAGGAUUAGAUACCCCGGUAGUCC